rnacentral:rRNA from 1 species
CCUACGGGAGGCAGCAGUGAGGAAUAUUGGUCAAUGGACGAGAGUCUGAACCAGCCAAGUAGCGUGAAGGAUGACUGCCCUAUGGGUUGUAAACUUCUUUUAUAUGGGAAUAAAACAGGGUAUGCAUACCCUCUUGUAUGUACCAUAUGAAUAAGGAUCGGCUAACUCCGUGCCAGCAGCCGCGGUAAUACGGAGGAUCCGAGCGUUAUCCGGAUUUAUUUGGUUUAAAGGGAGCGUAGGUGGAGUGUUAAGUCAGUUUUGAAAGUUUGCGGCUCAACCGUAAAAUUGCAGUUGAAACUGGCAGUCUAGAGUGCAGUAGAGGUGUGCGGAAUUCGUGGUGGAGCGGUGAAAUGCUUAGAUAUCACGAAGAACUCCGAUUGCGAAGGCAGCUCACUGGACUGCAACUGACACUGAUGCUCGAAAGUGUGGGUAUCAAACAGGAUUAGAUACCCUAGUAGUC